rnacentral:lncRNA from 1 species
CUGACAUAUGUACAAAAAACAAUAAGCAGUAAGUUGUAUAUUGAAUACUGCAUGCAAGUGAGAACCAUUUUAUACGACACUUUGAAACAGAGAAAAAUUAAGUUUCAUCACUAUACUGACAGAGCUGGACACUGAAGCUUCUGGUCUUCCUUUUUGCUGACAAGAUACACCAAUGUGCCUUGAAACUCGUCUCUGGCAUUGGCCUGUAUUGCCAAGAGGCUGAUCUUACUGACAGUGAAUACUUUCUUUCAAUACACAACACACACAUGGGAUGCAGAGUUUCUUUGGUUCCUGCAGAUGCUCAGGAAAUGCUGUAUCAACCACAAGGUCUUUUAAUGAUUGACAUUUCAAUGCACUGCAAGAGCAUCAGAGAGUAAGAGAUUACAGUGUGCUGCAGGCAGAAGGUCCGUGCUGCAUAAAAACGUAUUCUCUUCAUUAUUACCUAUUUGACAAAGAUUUAAGAGGGUUUUUGCAGCUGAGGCCACACAGAAAAGAUUACAAAUCAUUUCCAAAAGACAAAUUGCAAAAAGCCUGGGUAAUUUCCAGUGAGAUGUACUCGCCUACAUGAAGGAGUUGAUGAAAGCCCACCUUUAGAGUGCAAUACACGCGCUGCUCACAUCAUGGGAAGGAAACUGGAAAUGGCAGCCAGCAAUCGUGUUGGCUGAAAACUUUAGGUAUUAAAUAUUCUUCCACUGGAAAAUGGGAUUUGGUUGAACUGGUAAACAGGGAAAUAUUCUGUGUUGGUUUGUUUCUCUGUUUGUUUUACCGUUAGCAAAAGAAAAGGCAUAUGUUUUGCCUGCAGCUGUGUGAAGGAGGAAUUGACAUUGGAAUCAGAGGCACUGCAAGGCUGCUUCAGUGGAAGAAAUCGGUGGAAGACAAAGCUCCAGGAGCUCCAAGCAUGGGAAAGGCUGCAGGUCCAAGGCAGGAUAAUGAGACAAUGAAAUGGAGUAUGUUCCUUAGUCCAAGCAGCUUCCCUCUGAGCUCUGAACAAACAUUUGAAUUUUGUGUGGUCCUGUGUGGAGCCAGGAAUUGUACUCAGUGAUCUCUGUGAGUCCCUUCCAACUUGGGUUAAUCUAUGAUUCCAUGAAUUGGUGUCUAAAGAGCUUUAAUACUGCUG